UACGUAGGGUGCGAGCGUUAAUCGGAAUUACUGGGCGUAAAGCGUGCGCAGGCGGUUUUGUAAGCCAGAUGUGAAAUCCCCGGGCUUAACCUGGGAAUGGCAUUUGGGACUGCAAGGCUGGAGUGUGGCAGAGGAGACUGGAAUUCCUGGUGUAGCAGUGAAAUGCGUUAGAUAUCGUGAGGAAGACCAGUGGCGAAGGCGGGUCUCGUGGACAGUUCCUGACGCUGAGGCGCGAAGGCCAGGGGAGCAAACGGG
rnacentral:rRNA from 1 species